rnacentral:tRNA from 1 species
GCCGAAGUGGUGGAACUGGCAGACGCGCUGGACUCAAAAUCCAGUGGUGUAACAACCGUGCGGGUUCGAUUCCCGCCUUCGGCACCA